rnacentral:rRNA from 1 species
CCUACGGGCGGCUGCAGUGGGGAAUAUUGGACAAUGGGCGAAAGCCUGAUCCAGCCAUGCCGCGUGUGUGAAGAAGGCCUUCGGGUUGUAAAGCACUUUCAGUGGGGAAGAAAGCCUUGGGGCUAAUACCCUCGAGGAAGGACAUCACCCCCAGAAGAAGCACCGGCUAACUCCGUGCCAGCAGCCGCGGUAAUACGGAGGGUGCGAGCGUUAAUCGGAAUUACUGGGCGUAAAGCGCGCGUAGGCGGUCUGAUAAGCCGGUUGUGAAAGCCCCGGGCUCAACCUGGGAACGGCAUCCGGAACUGUCAGGCUAGAGUGCAGGAGAGGAAGGUAGAAUUCCCGGUGUAGCGGUGAAAUGCGUAGAGAUCGGGAGGAAUACCAGUGGCGAAGGCGGCCUUCUGGACUGACACUGACGCUGAGGUGCGAAAGCGUGGGUAGCAAACAGGAUUAGAUACCCUAGUAGUC